rnacentral:rRNA from 1 species
GACGAACGCUGGCGGCGUGCCUAAUACAUGCAAGUCGAACGCAGUGGGGACGGGUGAGUAACACGUGGGUAACCUCCCAUCAGAGGGGAUAACACUUGGAAACAGGUGCUAAACCGAUACUGAUGGAUGGACCCGCGGGGCAUUAGCUAGUUGGGGGGGUAACUGCUCACCAAGGCCACGAUGCAUAGCCGGCCUUAGAGGGGUAUCGGCGACACUGGGAAUUUGACAAGGCCCAGACUCCUACGGGAGGCAGCAGGAGGGAAUCUUCGGCAAUGGACGAAAGUCUGACCGAGCAACGCCGCGUGAGUGAAGAAGGGUUUCGGAUCGUAAAACUCUGUUGUUAGUGAAGCGGUAUCUAACCAGAAAGCCACGGCUAACUACGUGCCAGCAGCCGCGGUAAUAC